CCUACGGGUGGCAGCAGUGAGGAAUAUUGGUCAAUGGGCGUAAGCCUGAACCAGCCAAGUCGCGUGAGGGAUGAAGGUUCUAUGGAUUGUAAACCUCUUUUAUAAGGGAAUAAAGUGCGGGACGUGUCCCGUUUUGUAUGUACCUUAUGAAUAAGGAUCGGCUAACUCCGUGCCAGCAGCCGCGGUAAUACGGAGGAUCCGAGCGUUAUCCGGAUUUAUUGGGUUUAAAGGGUGCGUAGGCGGCAUUUUAAGUCAGCGGUGAAAGUCUGUGGCUCAACCAUAGAAUUGCCGUUGAAACUGGGAGUCUUGAGUGUGUUUGAGGCAGGCGGAAUGCGUGGUGUAGCGGUGAAAUGCUUAGAUAUCACGCAGAACCCCGAUUGCGAAGGCAGCCUGCCAAGCCAUGACUGACGCUGAUGCACGAAAGCGUGGGGAUCAAACAGGAUUAGAUACCCGGGUAGUC
rnacentral:rRNA from 1 species